rnacentral:misc_RNA from 1 species
GUGAAGAACGCAGCGAAAUGCGAUAAGUAAUGUGAAUUGCAGAAUUCAGUGAAUCAUCGAAUCUUUGAACGCACAUUGCGCCCUCUGGUAUUCCGGGGGGCAUGCCUGUUCGAGCGUCAUUAUAACCACUCAAGCUCUCGCUUGGUAUUGGGGUUCGCGGUUUCGCGGCCCCUAAAAUCAGUGGCGGUGCCUGUCGGCUCUACGCGUAGUAAUACUUCUCGCGAUUGAGUUCGAUAGGUCUACUUGCCAGUAACCCCCAAUUUUUACAGGUUGACCUCGGAUCAGGUAGGGAUACCCGCUGAACUUAAGCAUAUCAAUAAGCGGAGGA